CGGGGCUCUAAGGAAGAAGCGACGUGAAAUACGCUCAAAGAGUCUUUGAGCGCCUGCGAAAAGCUGGACACAGCCUGUGCACGCACUGUCAGUAACCUACGGAAAUAACAGGAGAAAAUAAGCGGGGAGAAAGUUACCGGCUGACACCCCGCUGCCCCGGCGGGACGGAGCCGCUGGCCGUGCGCCUUUAAAGCCGUUUCCUCUCACGCCUGAGCACGAAGCUACCGGGGCGGGUGACGCCGUCGCGUUUUCUGUAACCCCCGCAGCGAUUCCAGCAGGACAGCGGCUCUUUCCCCGCUCUGGCCACCGGCACGGCCGCGCGGACACCCGAACGCGGCCCCAGCGCUGCUCCGGCCGCCAGCUCCGUGCAGAAACCCACGGCUCCCGGCCCCGCGCGGCGCGGGUGAGAGCGCGGGGGGACCCCACCGGCUCCCGGCGCGCCGAGCUCAGCUUCGCCCCCCCCCCCCAAUUAUGUAAACCGCCCUUACCCGCCCCGCACCGAGAAGGCUGCGGGCAGACAGCGCUGCCGUCAUUUCCAGGCGCUAUAAAUAGCGCCCGAGCCUCCUCCCGCCAGCAAAGUUGCCUCGGUGGCCCCGCGCACACGGGAGACGGCGCCCCCCCCGCCCCCAGGCCGGGGCGCAGCACGGGGCCCCUCUCACAGCCGCUUUCCGCCCGUAACCCCCCCCCCACCCCUCCAAAAAAAUAAAUCCCAGCACAGGGAAGA